rnacentral:lncRNA from 1 species
CAUCAGUCUUGGUAUUUUUAGAACCAGGUCUAUAAGUAAUGAGAAAGUUAAAACGUGAAAGGAACAGUGACCAUCUAGCCUGUCUGGAAGACAAACGUUUGGCAUCCCCUAUAUAUGCCAGAUUUUUGUGGUCGGUUAUGAUCAACAGGGGGUCCUUGGAACCCUCCAAAAGAUGUCGCCACUCCUUGAGGGCAAGAAUAAUGGCCAACAGUUCUCUAUUACCAAUAUCAUAGUUGCGCUCAGCAGGAGACAUCUUUCUGGAGAAGUAGCCACAAGGAUGCAAUGGUGUUCCCUGGCUUUCUCUCUGAGAGAGAACAGCCCCUACCCCUGUCUCGGAUGCAUCAACCUCCAAUAUAAAAGGUUUACUAGUGUCGGGAUGUUUUAGUAUGUCCGCAGAGGCAAAUCUUUGUUUAAGAGUCUCAAAAGCAUUCACAGCCUCUUUGGACCAUACCUUGCUACUAACCCCUUUGCGAGUCAUAUUUGUGAUUGGGGCUAUUACAGAAGAAAAUCCCUUGAUGAAUGUUCUGUAAUAGUUGGCAAAACCAAUAAACCUUUGAAUGGCUUUU